rnacentral:misc_RNA from 1 species
ACAAAAAUGAUAACGGCUCCGGCCUUAAAUGGCUGGGCCAGAGUUUCCCUCGCGCAAGCGAGUCAGAAACCAAAACCCAACUGUGAACCGUUUUCCGUCUCUGGCGGUGGGGUUAGCCCUGGUGGCCGACCUGUCAGCAUGACGUUUUGAUGCCUCCUUCGGGUGCGUGGAAACGACGUGCCGUGGACAAGCCGCCAAAC